GGGGUGCUCGAGUGGCGAACGGGUGAGUAACACGUGAGUAACCUGCCCUUGACUUUGGGAUAACUUCAGGAAACUGGGGCUAAUACCGGAUAGGAGCUCCUGCUGCAUGGUGGGGGUUGGAAAGUUUCGGCGGUUGGGGAUGACUCGCGGCUUAUCAGCUUGUUGGUGGGGUAGUGGCUUACCAAGGCUUUGACUGGUAGCCGGCCUGAGAGGGUGACCGGCCACAUUGGGACUGAGAUACGGCCCAG
rnacentral:rRNA from 1 species